rnacentral:rRNA from 1 species
GAUGAACGCUGGCGGCGUGCCUAAUACAUGCAAGUCGAGCGAACAGAUGAGGAGCUUGCUCCUCUGACGUUAGCGGCGGACGGGUGAGUAACACGUGGAUAACCUACCUAUAAGACUGGGAUAACUUCGGGAAACCGGAGCUAAUACCGGAUAAUAUAUUGAACCGCAUGGUUCAAUAGUGAAAGACGGUUUUGCUGUCACUUAUAGAUGGAUCCGCGCCGCAUUAGCUAGUUGGUAAGGUAACGGCUUACCAAGGCAACGAUGCGUAGCCGACCUGAGAGGGUGAGCGGCCACACGGGAACUGAGACACGGUCCAGACUCCUACGGGAGGCAGCAGUAGGGAAUCUUCCGCAAUGGGCGAAAGCCUGACGGAGCAACGCCGCGUGAGUGAUGAAGGUCUUCGGAUCGUAAAACUCUGUUAUUAGGGAAGAACAAAUGUGUAAGUAACUAUGCACGUCUUGACGGUACCUAAUCAGAAAGCCACGGCUAACUACGUG